AGUUCCAUAGUGUAGCGGUUAACACGUCUGCUUUACACAUAGAAGGUUCUGGGUUCACACCCCAGUGGAGCCA
rnacentral:tRNA from 1 species